GACCUCCAAUCAGAUAAGACUACCCGCUGAAUUUAAGCAUAUAACUAAGCGGAGGAAAAGAAACUAACUAGGAUUCCCCCAGUAACGGCGAGUGAAGUGGGAAUAGCUCAGACUGAAAAUCUUCGGAGUUGUGGUCUGGAGAAGUAAGACAAAUGGUGGAAGCCUUCGUAAAGUCGCAUGGAAAGGCGCGCCAAGGAGGGUGAGAGCCCCGUUCAUACGAAGGUGGAAGUCGGCGUCUGCUUCCAUGAGUCGAGUUGUUUGGGAUUGCAGCUCUAAUCGGGUGGUAAAUUCCAUCUAAAGCUAAAUAUGGGUAGGAGACCGAUAGCAAACAAGUACCGUGAGGGAAAGAUGAAAAGAACUUUGAAAAGAGAGUGAAAAAGUACCUGCAAUUGCUGAAAAGGAACCGAUGGGAAGUAGUGUGGGUGAUGCCAGGUUCCUGGUAUUACCGGUCUCGCUUUCUUGGCUGUCGUGGGAAAAGGCCUUAAAAACCUGUCAUGAUGCCGAGAG
rnacentral:rRNA from 1 species